UACGUAGGGGGCAAGCGUUGCCCGGAUUUACUGGGUGUAAAGGGUGCUCAGGUGGUUGCGCAAGUCAGAGGUGAAAUCCUAGAGCUUAACUCUGGAACUGCCUUUGAUACUGCGCGGCUUGUGUACGGAAGAGGCUGAUGGAAUUCCUGGUGUAGCAGUGAAAUGCGUAGAUAUCAGGAAGAACACCAGUGGCGAAGGCGGUCAGCUGGUCCGUUACAGACACUAAAGCACGAAAGCGUGGGGAGCAAAC
rnacentral:rRNA from 1 species